UUUUUUCUUUUUCUUUUUUUUUCAAUCUCUCUUGAUGAUUCUCUUCCAAUAUUAAGUUCCAAUGGUACUGGAUUUAUAUCUGUACCCCACAAAUAUACCCUGGAACGUGUCUGGAAUACAUGCCAUGAGGGCAGGGAUCUGAGUCCUUACUGCCCACCCCCCAACAAUCCUUGGCACACAGCACUCAGUAAAUAAAUAAAUCUUUUAAUAAAUAUUUUUUUGAAUCACCAUAAAUGAAUGGCUGCAUAAUGAAAACCAGAUUGAAGUAAUGAAGACCAAGAGACAAAAAAAAACCCCUGAUCUUUCUGAAACCGUACCUCUGAUCAAACACAUGCAACACACACUGCCUGCCUGCUUAAAAUCCUUUGAUUUUAAGCUUGGGGGCUCCUCAAUGGCCCCAAGCUAAAAUCCAAACUCUUCAAAACUUACAAGGAGAUACAAGAAAGUCUUUCAGAAGGGACACCUGCUUAUCUUUCAAACAUUGGCCAGAACACUUUGGCUUCCUGGAAUCCCGUCUCUACCCUGCCUACGAAAUCCUUGCAGAGGCCCCAUAAGCCUGCAGUCUUAUCCUCUGAGCUUUGCACAAGCAGCUCUUUCUGCCUGCCUGGAACACACUGCACUUCACCAGCCUCAUCUGGCCUUCACAGACAGCCUUCAUGUCUCAUUUUGGAAAUCAUCUUCUUUUAGAAUCUCCCUUUGACCACCCUCUCUAGCCUCAUUUCCUGAAAUCUAGGUUAACUGCCUUCUCUGUGCAUUCACAGUCCCUUGUAUGUCCAAAACCAUAGCUCAAAUUGCAAGGAAUUCUUAUUUAUACCUUAGAACUGCAGAGUUCCCUGAGGACAAGAUGUCUCAUUCACUUUACCCCUGGCGAUCUGCCCAGGCCAUGACACACAAUACAGGCUCAAUGAUGGACUUCCUUGUAGUGGUAGUAGUAAUGAUAAAAAGCUCCAAGAUAUUGAGGACUUACCUGCGAGAGUUUUAAAUAUGAAUUUCGUGUGCCUUAUGAGACUAUUAUUAUGCCCAUUUAGCAGAUGGGAAAACUGAUGCACAAUGAAGUCAAUCCUCUCUGGCCCCAGGAGAGUCACACAGACAUACAUUUUGUUCAGUUUUGAGUUAUUCCCCGAACCCCAAACUAAAGGGGCUUUAAAAAAAAGAAAAGAAAAGAAACUUUGAGGUCAGGUCACGCAAUGGGCUCCCAAUACAGAAAACAGUCGAGAGCGCACUCCAAGCCAAAGCCAAGCAGGGCUAAAGGGCAGGAGGGGGCGCCGCCCCGGCGCGGCGGCGGGGGAUAAAGGUCUGACCCCAGCCUCCUUCCCGGGGGUCCCCCGCGCCCCAGCCCCCGGCCUGCCCGACGAGCCGACGCCGGUGCGGGCGCGUCUGGGUCGCGACUGCCGCCCGGCCCUGCUCACCUGCCGCCCCGCCGCCUCGCCGAGCCCGGGCCGCCG
rnacentral:lncRNA from 1 species